CCUACGGGAGGCUGCAGUAGGGAAUCUUCCACAAUGGGCGAAAGCCUGAUGGAGCAACGCCGCGUGGGUGAAGAAGGUCUUCGGAUCGUAAAACCCUGUUGUUAGAGAAGAAAGUGCGUGAGAGUAACUGUUCACGUUUCGACGGUAUCUAACCAGAAAGCCACGGCUAACUACGUGCCAGCAGCCGCGGUAAUAAGUAGGUGGCAAGCGUUAUCCGGUUUUAUUGGGCGUAAAGGGAACGCAGGCGGUCUUUUAAGUUUGAUGUGAAAGCCUUCGGCUUAACCGGAGUAGGGCAUUGGAAACUGGGAGAAUUGAGUGCAGAAGAGGAGAGUGGAACUCCAUGUGUAGCGGUGAAAUGCGUAGAUAUAUGGAAGAACACCAGUGGCGAAAGCGGCUCUCUGGUCUGUAACUGACGCUGAGGUUCGAAAGCGUGGGUAGCAAACAGGAGUAGAUACCCUAGUAGUC
rnacentral:rRNA from 1 species